GCUGUGCGCGCCUUGUUGCUGCGUGGUGGGCAAGCGGGCUCGCUCACGUGCAGGCUCUUGCACACGUAGGCUGUCACGUGCGCGGGCAGGGUUAAUGCCGGCAAUGAUGUGCGUGGUGGUGGGGCAGGUGAGGUAGGCGCCUGUGCUGCUGGUGGUGCAGGCUUGCAGAGCAGCAGCUUGAGCUGCUGCCCCACUCGGCCUGCAGUGAGGUGCUGGAAGGGCUGGCCCGGGUUGGGGAGACGGCCUGCAGGCAGGUGCUGGAGGAAGGGAUAGGGAACCAGCUCCUCCUCCCCACGUUUGACCAGCACCCCUGUCCCUCUGGCAAGCACCACCAGCUC
rnacentral:lncRNA from 1 species